UACAGAGGGUGCAAGCGUUGUUCGGAAUUAUUGGGCGUAAAGCGCGUGUAGGCGGCUUUGCAAGUCGGGUGUGAAAGCCCUCAGCUCAACUGAGGAAGUGCGCCCGAAACUGCAGAGCUUGAGUGCCGGAGAGGGUGGCGGAAUUCCCCAAGUAGAGGUGAAAUUCGUAGAUAUGGGGAGGAACACCGGUGGCGGAAGGC
rnacentral:rRNA from 1 species